rnacentral:rRNA from 1 species
UACGUAGGGGGCAAGCGUUGUCCGGAUUUAUUGGGCGUAAAGCGUGCGUAGGCGGCUUGUUAAGUGAGAUGUGAAACCGUGUGGCUCAACCAUAUCGUUGCAUUUCAUACUGGCAGGCUAGGGGACGGCAGAGGCAAGUGGAAUUGGUAGUGUAGCAGUGAAAUGCGUAGAAAUCUGGAGGAACACCGGUGGCGAAGGCGGCAUCCUGGACCGAUAUUGACGCUGAUGCGCGAAAGCCAGGGGAGCAAACGGG